ACUACGGGAGGCAGCAGUGAGGAAUAUUGGUCAAUGGGCGGAAGCCUGAACCAGCCAAGUAGCGUGCAGGAUGACGGCCCUACGGGUUGUAAACUGCUUUUAUACGGGAAUAACGCGCCUUACGUGUAGGGCUUUGCAUGUACCGUAUGAAUAAGGACCGGCUAAUUCCGUGCCAGCAGCCGCGGUAAUACGGAAGGUCCGGGCGUAAUCCGGAUUUAUUGGGUUUAAAGGGAGCGUAGGACGCAUUGCCAGCGUGCUGUGAAAUGUCCGGGCUCAACCCGGGCCUUGCAGCGCGUACUGGCGUGCUUGAGUCCGCGGAAGGCAGGCGGAAUUCGUCGUGUAGCGGUGAAAUGCUUAGAUAUGACGAAGAACCCCGAUUGCGAAGGCAGCUUGCUGCAGCGGAACUGACGCUGAUGCUCGAAAGCGCGGGUAUCGAACAGGAUUAGAUACCCUGGUAGUC
rnacentral:rRNA from 1 species